rnacentral:rRNA from 1 species
UACGUAGGGCGCAAGCGUUGUCCGGAAUUAUUGGGCGUAAAGAGCUCGUAGGCGGCUUGUCACGUCGGGUGUGAAAGCCCGGGGCUUAACCCCGGGUCUGCAUUCGAUACGGGCUAGCUAGAGUGUGGUAGGGGAGAUCGGAAUUCCUGGUGUAGCGGUGAAAUGCGCAGAUAUCAGGAGGAACACCGAUGGCGAAGGCAGGUCUCUGGGCCGCAACUGACGCUGAGGAGCGAAAGCAUGGGGAGCGAACAGG